CUCUGCAGCUCUGAAGGUGGACAGAGAGCAGUCUGAUGGACCUGCAGCUCCCGUCAGGUCGGCGGCGUCCUUCAGGGCCGACUCCAAGAGCUUCAGGAACGACGACCUGUUCCAGAAGGUGGUCAGCAGCCGCUCCAGCAGGACGAUGAAGCAGUGAGACGUCCGCAGAAAGUCCGAGGAACCAAAGAGCAGAACGUGUUCCCGCCCCAAAGGGUCAAAGGUCACAGAGAUGAGAGGAAAAAUCCUCCUCGAUUUUUUUCUUUUUUUCUUUCCACUCUGAACUGA